rnacentral:rRNA from 1 species
UGCAGUCGAGGAUCAUUCGCAAUGGGCGCAAGCCUGACGAUGCGACGCUGCGUGGAGGAAGAAGGGCCUCGGCCCGUAAACUCCUGUCAUGGGGGAAAAAGGUCCCCAUGGUGAACAAUCAUGGGGCUUGAUGGUACUCCAAGAGGAAGCCACGGCUAACUCUGUGCCAGCAGCCGCGGUAAU